rnacentral:rRNA from 1 species
AUGUCCGGGUUCCAUGCUUCUCAGUGUGGCUUCUGCACUCCUGGCAUGUGCAUGUCUAUUUUCACUUCUCUUGCCAAUGCUGACAAAUCCAAGAAGCCCGAACCACGAAAGGGGUUCUCAAAGUUGACGGUAUCUGAAGCAGAAAGGGCUUUCUCAGGCAACAUGUGUAGAUGUACCGGGUACCGUCCGAUUGUCGAUGCGUGCAAAAGUUUUGCUUCAGAUGUUGACCUGGAGGAUUUGGGCCUCAAUAUAUUCUGGAAGAAAGGUGAUAAGGACGCCCACGCUAGGAAGUUGCCAGCUUACACUCUUGGCGGUGGAAUCUGCACUUUCCCGGACUUCCUGAAAUCCGAGAUAAAAUCUUCGCUCCUUCAUCCAACUGAUGUUUCGGAUGUCACAGUCUCCGGGGUGGGUUGGUAUCAUCCUAAAAGCAUCGGGUAG